UACGUAGGGUGCAAGCGUUAAUCGGAAUUACUGGGCGUAAAGCGUGCGCAGGCGGUUAUGUAAGACAGAUGUGAAAUGCCCGGGCUUAACCUGGGAACUGCAUUUGUGACUGCAUGGCUAGAGUUUGGCAGAGGGGGGUAGAAUUCCACGUGAUAGCAGUGAAAUGCGUAGAUAUGUGGAGGAACACCGAUGGCGAAGGCAGCCCCCUGGGUCAAGACUGGACGCUCAGGCACGAAAGCGUGGGGAGC
rnacentral:rRNA from 1 species